UUAAUGGAGAGUUUGAUCCUGGCUCAGGACGAACGCUGGCGGCGUGCCUAAUACAUGCAAGUCGAGCGGGGUUAAUUAGAAGCUUGCUUCUAACUAACCUAGCGGCGGACGGGUGAGUAACACGUAGGCAACCUGCCCACAAGACAGGGAUAACUACCGGAAACGGUAGCUAAUACCCGAUACAUCCUUUUCCUGCAUGGGAGAAGGAGGAAAGACGGAGCAAUCUGUCACUUGUGGAUGGGCCUGCGGCGCAUUAGCUAGUUGGUGGGGUAAAGGCC
rnacentral:rRNA from 1 species